AGUGAACACUGGCGGUAGGCCUAACACAUGCAAGUCGAACGGCAGCACAGAGGAGCUUGCUCCUUGGGUGGCGAGUGGCGGACGGGUGAGGAAUACAUCGGAAUCUACUCUGUCGUGGGGGAUAACGUAGGGAAACUUACGCCAAUACCGCAUACGACCUACGGGUGAAAGCAGGGGAUCUUCGGACCUUGCGCGAUUGAAUGAGCCGAUGUCGGAUUAGCUAGUUGGCGGGGUAAAGGCCCACCAAGGCGACGAUCCGUAGCUGGUCUGAGAGGAUGAACAGCCACACUGGAACUGAGACACGGUCCAGACUCCUACGGGAGGCAGCAGUGGGGAAUAUUGGACAAUGGGCGCAAGCCUGAUCCAGCCAUACCGCGUGGGUGAAGAAGGCCUUCGGGUUGUAAAGCCCUUUUGUUGGGAAAGAAAUCCAUCUGGUUAAUACCCGGGUGGGAUGACGGUACCCAAAGAAUAAGCACCGGCUAACUUCGUGCCAGCCGCCGCAGUAA
rnacentral:rRNA from 1 species